UCGGUGGUCGGCGUGCUAGCCCCGCUAC
rnacentral:sRNA from 1 species